UUUAUGGAGAGUUUGAUCCUGGCUCAGGAUGAACGCUGGCGGCGUGCCUAAUACAUGCAAGUCGAGCGAACAGAUAAGGAGCUUGCUCCUUUGACGUUAGCGGCGGACGGGUGAGUAACACGUGGGUAACCUACCUAUAAGACUGGAAUAACUCCGGGAAACCGGGGCUAAUGCCGGAUAACAUGUUGAACCGCAUGGUUCUACAGUGAAAGACGGUCUUGCUGUCACUUAUAGAUGGACCCGCGCCGUAUUAGCUAGUUGGUGGGGUAACGGCCUACCAAGGCGACGAUACGUAGCCGACCUGAGAGGGUGAUCGGCCACACUGGAACUGAGACACGGUCCAGACUCCUACGGGAGGCAGCAGUAGGGAAUCUUCCGCAAUGGGCGAAAGCCUGACGGAGCAACGCCGCGUGAGUGAUGAAGGUCUUCGGAUCGUAAAGCUCUGUUGUUAGGGAAGAACAAAUGUGUAAGUAACUGUGCACAUCUUGACGGUACCUAACCAGAAAGCCACGGCUAACUACGUGCCAGCAGCCGCGGUAAUACGUAGGUGGCAAGCGUUAUCCGGAAUUAUUGGGCGUAAAGCGCGCGUAGGCGGUUUUUUUUAAGUCUGAUGUGAAAGCCCACGGCUCAACCGUGGAGGGUCAUUGGAAACUGGAAAACUUGAGUGCAGAAGAGGAAAGUGGAAUUCCAUGUGUAGCGGUGAAAUGCGCAGAGAUAUGGAGGAACACCAGUGGCGAAGGCGGCUUUCUGGUCUGCAACUGACGCUGAUGUGCGAAAGCGUGGGGAUCAAACAGGAUUAGAUACCCUGGUAGUCCACGCCGUAAACGAUGAGUGCUAAGUGUUAGGGGGUUUCCGCCCCUUAGUGCUGCAGCUAACGCAUUAAGCACUCCGCCUGGGGAGUACGGUCGCAAGACUGAAACUCAAAGGAAUUGACGGGGACCCGCACAAGCGGUGGAGCAUGUGGUUUAAUUCGAAGCAACGCGAAGAACCUUACCAAAUCUUGACAUCCUUUGACCGCUCUAGAGAUAGAGUUUUCCUCUUCGGAGGACAAAGUGACAGGUGGUGCAUGGUUGUCGUCAGCUCGUGUCGUGAGAUGUUGGGUUAAGUCCCGCAACGAGCGCAACCCUUGAACUUAGUUGCCAUCAUUCAGUUGGGCACUCUAAGUUGACUGCCGGUGACAAACCGGAGGAAGGUGGGGAUGACGUCAAAUCAUCAUGCCCCUUAUGAUUUGGGCUACACGUGCUACAAUGGACAAUACAAAGGGCAGCGAAACCGCGAGGUCAAGCAAAUCCCAUAAAGUUGUUCUCAGUUCGGAUUGUAGUCUGCAACUCGACUACAUGAAGCUGGAAUCGCUAGUAAUCGUAGAUCAGCAUGCUACGGUGAAUACGUUCCCGGGUCUUGUACACACCGCCCGUCACACCACGAGAGUUUGUAACACCCGAAGCCGGUGGAGUAACCAUUUUGGAGCUAGCCGUCGAAGGUGGGACAAAUGAUUGGGGUGAAGUCGUAACAAGGUAGCCGUAUCGGAAGGUGCGGCUGGAUCACCUCCUUUCU
rnacentral:rRNA from 1 species